GUUAAAACUCAAAUGAAUUGACGGGGGCCCGCACAAGCGGUGGAGCAUGUGGUUUAAUUCGAUGCAACGCGAAGAACCUUACCUGGUCUUGACAUCCACGGAAGUUUUCAGAGAUGAGAAUGUGCCUUCGGGAACCGUGAGACAGGUGCUGCAUGGCUGUCGUCAGCUCGUGUUGUGAAAUGUUGGGUUAAGUCCCGCAACGAGCGCAACCCUUAUCCUUUGUUGCCAGCGGUUAGGCCGGGAACUCAAAGGAGACUGCCAGUGAUAAACUGGAGGAAGGUGGGGAUGACGUCAAGUCAUCAUGGCCCUUACGACCAGGGCUACACACGUGCUACAA
rnacentral:rRNA from 1 species